UAGGGAAUCUUCCACAAUGGACGAAAGUCUGAUGGAGCAACGCCGCGUGAGUGAAGAAAGGUUUCGGCUCGUAAAACUCUGUUGUUAAAGAAGAACAUAUCUGAGAGUAACUGUUCAGGUAUUGACGGUAUUUAACCAGAAAGCCACGGCUGACUACGUGCAAG
rnacentral:rRNA from 1 species